GCCUGGGUGGCGGAAUGGCAGACGCAUCGGACUUAAAAUCCGAAGGUCGAGAGAUCGUGCGGGUUCGACUCCCGCCCCAGGCACCA
rnacentral:tRNA from 1 species